rnacentral:sRNA from 1 species
GCCGGGUGUGGUGGUGCACACCUGUAUCCCAGCGGUUUGGGAGGCUGAGGCAGGAGGAUCACAAGUUCAAAGCCAGCCUCAG